rnacentral:rRNA from 1 species
GACGAACGCUGGCGGCGUGCUUAACACAUGCAAGUCGAACGGUAAAGCCCCGCUCUUGUGGGGUGCUCGAGUGGCGAAGGGGAGGGUAACGUGACACUAACCUGCCCUUGCCCUUGGGAUUACUUCAGGGCAUUGGGGUUUAUACCGGAUGGGAGCUUCUGGUGCAUGGUGGGGGUUGGUCAGGUUCGGCGGUUGGGGAUGGAGUCGCGGCUUUUCAGCCUGUUGGUGGGGUUGUUGCUUUCAAAGGCUUUGACGGGUAGCCGGCCUGACAGGGUGAGCGGCCAGACUGGGACUGAGAUGCGGGCCAGACGCCUGCGGGAGGCAACAGUGGGGAAAAGUGCGCAGUGGGGGGAAGCCGGAAGCAGCAACGCCGCGUGCGGGAUAACGGCCUUCGGGUUGUAAACCGCGUUCGCCUGGGACGAAGCGGGAUUGACGGUAGUGGGUAAAGAAGCACCGGCUAACUACGUG